CACAGACAUACAAACGCAGACAGUCAUACAGAGACAUACAGUCAGUAUGUAUGUCUCUGUAUGACUGUCUGUGUAUGUAUGUCUCUGUAUGA